ensembl:rRNA 5S_rRNA 5S ribosomal RNA
GUCUACAGUCAUGCUACCCUGAACAAGCUCAGUCCUGUCUGAUCUCAGAAGCUAGGCAGGGUUGGGCCUGGUUAGCACUUGGAUGGGAGACCACCUAGGAAGAUCAGGUGCUCUAGGUG